rnacentral:rRNA from 1 species
AUGGGCGCAGCCUGAUGCAGCAACGCCGCGUGCAGGGAUGAAGGCCUUCGGGUUGUAAACCUCUUUCCUCGGGGACGAUCAUGGACGGACCUCGCGGAAAAACCCCCGGCUAACUACGUGCCAGCGCCCGCGGUAAUA